rnacentral:tRNA from 1 species
GUCCCGGUAGCUCAACUGGACAGAGCGUUGGCCUCCGGAGCCAGAGGUUGUGGGUUCGAAUCCCGCCCGGGACG